rnacentral:rRNA from 1 species
AGAGUUUGAUCCUGGCUCAGAUUGAACGCUGGCGGUAGGCCUAACACAUGCAAGUCGAACGCGAAAGUCCUUCGGGAUGAGUAGAGUGGCGGACGGGUGAGUAACGCGUAGGAAUCUAUCCUGUAGUGGGGGAUAACGUUUCGAAAGGAACGCUAAUACCGCAUACGCCCCAAGGGGGAAAGCGGGGGGAUCUUCGGACCUCGUGCUAUAGGAGGAGCCUGCGUCGGAUUAGCUAGUUGGUGAGGUAAAGGCUCACCAAGGCGACGAUCCGUAGCUGGUCUGAGAGGAUGAUCAGCCACACCGGAACUGAGACACGGUCCGGACUCCUACGGGAGGCAGCAGUGGGGAAUAUUGCGCAAUGGGCGAAAGCCUGACGCAGCCAUACCGCGUGUGUGAAGAGGGCCUUCGGGUUGUAAAGCACUUUCAGUGGGGAGGAAAAGCUGGUGGCUAAUAUCCAUCGGCCGUGACGCUACCCACAGAAGAAGCACCGGCUAAUUCCGUG